rnacentral:misc_RNA from 1 species
AACCUUAUGGACCUGCGGGCGUAUACCUGCGGAGGGAUCAUUACCGAGGCGUUGGAUCUCGCGAGAGACCGAUACCCGACCUUAUGUCAUUUGUUGCUCCGGGGAUCCAAACGCGGGUGACGCGGGAGGACCCGGAGGAGUUGAACUUCGGCGGAAGAGGUAGGCUUUGACCUGCCCGCCGCCGGCCGCAUUCCAAGCUCUUUCGAGAUUGAAACGAUGAAGUCUGAGAAAGAAGCGAGA